CAAUAGCGUAUAUUAAAGUUGUUGCGGUAAAAAAGCUCGUAGUUGGAUUUCUACCGAAGAUAGCCGGUCGGGUCUUUGACCUUGUAUCUGGUUUUGUCUUUGGUAUCCUCAUAGGGAACGUUUCUGCGCUUUAUUGCGUGGUGCGGUAUCUAUGACUUUUACUUUGAGGAAAUUAGAGUGUUCACGGCAGGCAAACGCCUUGAAUAUAUUAGCAUGGAAUAAUAACAUAGGAUCUUCGUCCUAUUUUGUUGGUUUCUAGGGCUAAGAUAAUGAUUAAUAGGGAUAAUUGGGGGCAUCUGUAUCAACGCGUCAGAGGUGGAAUUCUUGGAUUGCGUUGCGACAAACUACUGCGAAAGCAUUUGCCAAGGAUGUUUUCAUUGA
rnacentral:rRNA from 1 species